rnacentral:rRNA from 4 species
UUGACCUCGGAUCAGGUAGGGAUACCCGCUGAACUUAAGCAUAUCAAUAAGCGGAGGAAAAGAAACCAACCGGGAUUGCCCUAGUAACGGCGAGUGAAGCGGCAAGAGCUCAAAUUUGAAAGCUGGCCCCCUCGGGGUCCGCAUUGUAAUUUGUAGAGGAUGCUUCGGGAGCGGUCCCCAUCUAAGUGCCCUGGAACGGGCCGUCAUA